rnacentral:lncRNA from 10 species
UGCUCCCUCCCCUCUUCCUCUUUGGCUCUCUCUCUCUCUUUUUCCAGACACCUUAAGGAAUUCAACAACCCCUCCCCUGCACACAGGCUUCUUCCAGAUGCCAUGUUGCAAGAUUUCCUCUGGAGAGGGCCUCUUGGCAAGGAACUGAUGUCUCUGGCCAGCAGCCAGCGAGGACCUAAGAUCUGUCAACAGCCAUGCAGAAGGGACAAUGAAUUGUGACUCGGAAAUUAAUCAGAUGAGACCUGAUGACUGAAGUACAUCACAGAGCUAGGAAGAGAGAUUACUAAGCAACACGCCCUUUUUUUCAGACAUCUCAGUUGACAACCUGAGCAAUAGCUCUGACCUGGAAGCAUCCAGCUUUGUAGCCAAAGAGAAAAAGCGCAGACCUUUGUCCCAGAAUUCUCAUCAAAAGUGUCUUUCAUCUCAUUGGCCCUGUGACCAUCUGAUCCAAGCCUGCAAUCUGACCCUUCCCUCAAUGUUGACCUCAUCCAGGAAGUGCCUCUCUCCCUUCAGGAAGACCCACAUCUGAAUCACCUCAGCAUCCAGGAUCCUGCCUUGUCCCCAGCCCUCACGGUCCAAAUGCCCUGGCAGAUCUGUCCUGACCUGUUCCUAUUAAAGGGGCUCAGUUAAAGUAUAGAUUUUUGUGUACUAUUUCUGUGCCUGGCAGUAAGGCGCCGAUAAACUCUGAAAAGCCCUCCCACUGGAUCCUGCACUAAUUACAACAAACAGAAUUCUUAAUGCAUUCCUGGGCUCCCUAGAAAGUAAGAGAAAUUUCCAUGGCCAAAUGUGGCCAAAAAAAAAAAAAAG